GACGAACGCUGGCGGCGCGCUUAACACAUGCAAGUCGAACGGAAAGGCCUGCUUUCCCUUGUGGAUUGCGGGUACUCGAGUGGCGAACGGGUGAGUAACACGUGAGUGAUCUGCCCCCAACUUGGGUAUAAGCCUGGGAAACAGGGUCUAAUUCCCGAUAGGACUGCAGGGUGGGGCCGGUGGUGGAAAACGAUUUUCUAGUGGUUGGGGAUGAGCUCGCGGCCUAUCAGCUUGUUGGUGGGGUAAUGGACUACCAAGGCGGCGACGGGUAGCCGGCCUGAGAGGGUGGACGGUGACAUUGGGACUGCGUUACGGCCCAGACUCCUACGGGAGGCAGCAGUUGGGCAUAUUGCACAAUGGGCGGAAGCCUGAUGCAGCGACGCCGCGUGGGGGAUGACGGCCUUCGGGUUGUAUACUCCUUUCGACCGCGAGGAAGCCACCUGGUUGGAAGGGUGGUGACGGUAGUGGUAGAAGAAGCACCGGCUAACUACGUG
rnacentral:rRNA from 1 species